ACGAACGCUGGCGGCGUGCUUAACACAUGCAAGUCGAACGGAAAGGCCUGUCCUUCCUUGUGUUGGACGGGUACUCGAGUGGCGAACGGGUGAGUAACACGUGAGUGAUCUGCCCCCAACUUGGGUAUAAGCCUGGGAAACUGGGUCUAAUUCCCGAUAGGACUGCAGGGUGGUGCCUGUGGUGGAAAACGAUUUUCUAGUGGUUGGGGAUGAGCUCGCGGCCUAUCAGCUUGUUGGUGGGGUAAUGGCCUACCAAGGCGGCGACGGGUAGCCGGCCUGAGAGGGUGGACGGCCACAUUGGGACUGAGAUACGGCCCAGACUCCUACGGGAGGCAGCAGUGGGGAAUAUUGCACAAUGGGCGGAAGCCUGAUGCAGCGACGCCGCGUGGGGGAUGACGGCCUUCGGGUUGUAAACUCCUUUCGACCGCGAGGAAGCCGCCUGGUUGGAAGGGUGGUGACGGUAGUGGUAGAAGAAGCACCGGCUAACUACGUG
rnacentral:rRNA from 1 species